GCCGAACUUCUCCUCCCCCCUCACCUGACAGGUGCAGCGGCCUGGCCAGAGGGCCCGCCCGCCGGCCCGGGAUGGGAGCUACAGGAGCCUCAUUAGCAUCUCAAUUAAAGAUUUAUUUGAAAGGCAGACUAACAACAGAGAGAGAGAGAGAGACCGUGCAUCUGCUGGUUCACUUCCCAAAUAGCCACCACAGCCAGAGCUGCACCAGGCCGUAGCCAGGAGCCAGGAGUUCCAUCCUGGUCCCCGACAUGGGUGGCAAGACCAUCUUCUGCUGCCUUCCCAGGCACAUUAGCAGGAAACUGGAUCAGAAACAGAGUAGCCGGGGCUGGAACCAGCACUCCAAUAUGGGAUGCCGGCGUGGGUGUGCCUGGAGACCACAGCAUUCUAGAACUGGAAUGAGCCGGAGCUGGCUUGCUGUUGUGAGAAAAGCAGAAACCUGAUACCUGUUCUGAGGUCAGAGCUCCAUCUUAAAUAUUAUCUCUGAAAGUGCAGAAAUAAUACACAAAUACACUUGUGCAAUCCAGUUUUCCAGCAAUUCAGAAUAAAACAAAACAACAAAAGCUUCCCUUUAACUAAUUCCUUUCCCUACACUUGGGCCAAAGGGAGCCAAGAUUGUUUGUUUAUCUGUGUCGUUUUGUGUGCCUUUAAAGAUAUUCUUUAAAGUUUUAGAUUCAUUUUCAUUUUGUUUGAAAGAGAAACAGAGAGAGACAGAGACAGACAGAUCAAGAUCUUCCAUCCACUGCUUCACUCCACAGAUGUCUGCAACAGCCAGGCCUGGGCCAGGCCAAAGCCAGGAACUUGGAACUCAUCUCCCAUGUGGCGACCCAAGUACUUGAGCCGUCACUGCUUGCCUCCCAGGGUCUGCAUUAGCAGCAAGUUGGAAGCAGAAGCAAAACGAGGACUCAAACCCAGUUACUCCAAAGGGAUGCGGGCAUGCCAAGCAAUUUUAGCCGCUGCACCAAACCCACCCUGAGAAGUUGAGGCUUGUUUUUUGGAGGUUAGGGACAUUGUUGACCUUGGCUUGCAGAGGUCCCUAUUCCAGAGCUCACCUUAGCCUCUCCCAGAGCCCAGCCUUUCCUUCCACCUCAGGUGUACCUUCCUCCUCCCUGUACCAGCCACCCUCUAACCCUGUGGUAUGAUCGUAGAAUGUGCAAAGCCUGCAGGGGACCUGCAGUGGAGUGAGGAUCCUGAACGGGCAGGGUCCUCCUGCCUCUUAUUCUCUGUAUGAUGAGAGGAAUUGCUCUCCCCUCCACACAACCAGGGAGAGCCCAUCUCAGCACUUCCCACUGCUUACUGUUUGUCAUUGUCCUGGUGUGUGUCUGCACAUGUGUGUGUGUGUGUGUACAUAUGCGCAUGUGUGUAUUGGUCCUCUUCUCAUCACCUUAACUGAUUACCAAAGAGGGAUUUCUUGGGAAAGAAAAGCCUUAUUUCCAUUUUGAGUUUGGAGGUGACAGUUCAGGUGGAGCGGUCCCAUGGCCUGGCAUGUGUGGAGGCUGGUCAUGGCGGCGGGAGAGGAAAGACCACAUGGUGAAUCAGGAAGCAGAGAGAGAAGAGCUGGGCCCAACUUGAGCUCAGAACAAUCAACCCUCUUGCAAGAACCGCCCUGCAAGGGCACACCCCCAGUGACCUAAGCCCCUCCCACCACGCCCACUUCUCAGCCACCUAAGGAGAUGGAGUCUCUCCCCUUGAUCCCUUAGCCAUUAACAUGAGGACAUCCGAGUUUCAACAUCUGCAUGAGUUUUGGGGACACAGGUUCUGCUGCACUCAGUGUGUUGACAUGUAUGUGGAUCCUACUGUGAGUAGGGGACCAGGCUUCAAGCUCUUUGGGACCUCAGUGUCUAAUGGUCACUAUUUGUGGACCCACUCUGCAGGAGACAGAAGAUUUGCAAUUAAGUAAGAGUCAAGGUUUGUCUUUUUUAUUU